rnacentral:ribozyme from 1 species
AAGUUCCCCUCCCAGCUGUGAUCGCGGGCCUGUGCUCCUUCGGAGGGGGGAGGGCCAGCCCUGGUACGGAAACAAUGGAGAAAGGGAACAGCGGGGACGUGGCGCCGAUGGAAUAGGCCCGCCGAUCAUUUCGAGGAGGUGAAAGGGGGGGUGCAAGCGGGGGCAAUCUGAGGGUGAUCCGGAU